UUGACGGGGAGCACCACAACAGGUGGAGCCUGCGGUUAAUCGGACUCAACGCCGGGAAGCUCACCGGAUAAGACAGCGGAAUGAUAGCCCGGGCUGAAGACUCUGCUUGACUAGCUGAGAGGAGGUGCAUGGCCGUCGUCAGUUCGUACUGUGAAGCAUCCUGUUAAGUCAGGCAACGAGCGAGACCCACGCCAACAGUUGCCAGCAUGUCCUCCGGGAUGGUGGGGACACUGUUGGGACCGCCUCUGCUAAAGAGGAGGAAGGAAUGGGCAACGGUAGGUCAGCAUGCCCCGAAUUAUCCGGGCUACACGCGGGCUACAAUGGUUGGUACAAUGGGUAUCUACCCCGAAAGGGGACGGGAAUCUCCUAAAACCAAUCUUAGUUCGGAUUGAGGGCUGCAACUCGCCCUCAUGAAGCUGGAAUCCGUAGUAAUCGCGUUUCAACAGAACGCGGUGAAUACGUCCCUGCUCCUU
rnacentral:rRNA from 1 species